UAGGAGAUCCUUUCUAAUUGUGAAGUUUAUUAUAGUGGACUUGAAAAUGGAAAGAAAUUCCUUUGGUGUUACUCCUCUGGUCAUGCAAUUAUUUUAUGUAAUUCAGUGGGGGUGGAUGUAACAGGGUUAAAAAGAGUACUUAAUUUAAGAGUUUUGAUGUGUGAAUUUCAUAAAAUAAGCAUUUGGUUAAAUUCAUUGGUGUUCAAAGGCUCCCCUCCUGUGGCUAUUAAUGGUACUGCAGACAGUGUAUUUUGUCGCUCUUCUCUUGCCGUACUCCAGCAGAUUUGAGUGUCGCUGCUGUGGUCUUGAAUGUCUGCAGUAGUUUAUCUUCAGCCAAAGUGAUUUGUGCCAUUUUAUUUCCAAAAGAUAAAGGCAAGCACAAGGAAACCCACGUGUGAGUGUGUUUGUUCACGUCUGUU